AUCAUUAUCGAAGCUAGCGCUCGCGCGCAACGCU
rnacentral:rRNA from 1 species